CAGCAUCCUGUGAACUUGGCAUUGCGAACCUAUUCUACAAAGAGGAGACUGAAGCUGGAAGAGGAGGAGAAAAAGACCUGGAUGAACAUACCAAAUGGUGCAUGCCCAAGGGAACAUGGACCAAGGCGCCAGUGCCAUUGUGUCACAAAUGACCAAGACCCAUGGGCUAAGAUCUAGAUUCACAUCCUGGACCUCUGUGGCUUGCGUUGAUGUUCUUCUGGGAUCCAUUCUGUCUGCUGCAGCUUCUCAUGAACCAGCUGUUUCUCUGACCCCAAGAUCUGCUCUGAUUAGAGUGGUGGCCCCAUCAAGGAGCAGAGAGGUCUUGCUGGGUUCCUUGCAAAGAAGAACAUUCUACCUGUCAGAGCUCUACAAGAUGGAUUGGCCAGCCUCAGGAGGCAGUAAAUCUCCUGCCAGGAGCAAAGAGACAGUGUCCUCCAGGCUCUCGCUGUGAACAUUUGCAGACAGAGAAUGGACUGCUAUCCAGGAUAGUACCCAAUACAGGGACCCAUCCAGAUGUAAGCACGCAGCUACUGCUCCACCACCAUGCCUGCCUGCCACCGCAUUUCCUGCAGUGAUGAUGUUGGACUCAACCUCUGAAAAUGUAAGCCCCCAUUAAAAUCUUUCUUCUGUAA